AAGCACAUAUCAUUGACCUGCUUCCUUUGCACUGGUAAGUAGUGUUAUUUCUGGUGUGCUAAAGGGAGAUUGUGAAGGCUAAUUAGCAGCUUUGCUUCAUUUAGAAUUGCUGCCAGUCUCCUUCAUACAUGG
ensembl:snoRNA small nucleolar RNA, H/ACA box 19